rnacentral:rRNA from 1 species
GUUUGACCUCAAAUCAGGUAGGAGUACCCGCUGAACUUAAGCAUAUCAAUAAGCGGAGGAAAAGAAACCAACCGGGAUUGCCUUAGUAACGGCGAGUGAAGCGGCAAAAGCUCAAAUUUGAAAUCUGGUACCUUCGGUGCCCGAGUUGUAAUUUGGAGAGGGCAACUUUGGGGCCGUUCCUUGUCUAUGUUCCUUGGAACAGGACGUCAUAGAGGGUGAGAAUCCCGUGUGGCGAGGAGUGCGGUUCUUUGUAAAGUGCCUUCGAAGAGUCGAGUUGUUUGGGAAUGCAGCUCUAAGUGGGUGGUAAAUUCCAUCUAAAGCUAAAUAUUGGCGAGAGACCGAUAGCGAACAAGUACAGUGAUGGAAAGAUGAAAAGAACUUUGAAAAGAGAGUGAAAAAGUACGUGAAAUUGUUGAAAGGGAAGGGCAUUUGAUCAGACAUGGUGUUUUGUGCCCUCUGCUCCUUGUGGGUAGGGGAAUCUCGCAUUUCACUGGGCCAGCAUCAGUUUUGGUGGCAGGAUAAAUCCAUAGGAAUGUAGCUUGCCUCGGUAAGUAUUAUAGCCUGUGGGAAUACUGCCAGCUGGGACUGUAGGACUGCGACGUAAGUCAAGG